UUGUGCUUGCUUUGACACUACAUAUACUAAAUUGGAACAAUACAGAGAUUAGCAUGGCCCCUGCGCAAGGAUGACAUGAAAAUUCAUGAAGCAUUCCAUAUUUUU
rfam:Otolemur garnettii contig000565, whole genome shotgun sequence.